GCAAAGUCACUGCAUGUACUCGGCAUGGGGUAUUAACACAGGGCAGAUUAAUGGCACCGGAUGCUGCAGGUAUGGGGGGUAUUAGCCGGGUAGUAACGGUAGUACAUGCAGCAGACACGGGGUAUUAGCCGGGUAGUAACGCGUAAAGUGACUGAACUGCACCAGGCGUAUUUACACGAGAGGCAGGCGCAGCGCUACAUGCAGGAGGUAAAGCCGCAGGACACCGGGUGAUAGCAGGCAGUGGAUGCCGGGGUGACAGUGAAGGCACCGGGGCAGUCAGUGACUACAUGGGCCUCACGCACAUGCAUCAGCCCCGGCCACGCGUCACCCCAUUUACCCCUCAGCUGUUAUUAGCGAUGAGAACCUGCCCACCCCGGCUAGUAUUUGUCCCACGCCUGCCCCCUUGGCUAUAAUCAGAGUCCCCGGCUGGGUGCGGACCCUACAGGCCGCCGGCCCAGGUAGCGCAUGGCAGCCAGGAUCUGAGGCCUUUGCGGAGCGCUCGGCCCCAGGCCCUCUCUGAGGUAACCGGGGCACUGAGCGCUUUCUCAGCCACCAGCGAAGACUCGGGGGACUCUCUGAGGUUCCUUUCCCCGCCAGAC